rnacentral:rRNA from 1 species
CACGCAGGCUGAAUUAUAAGUCGGUAGUAAAAGGCGGGGGCUCAACUUCCGUAUAUCUAUCGAUACUGUAAAUCUAGAGUAUGUGAGAGGGAAGCGGAAUUCCCGGUGUAGCGGUGAAAUGCGUAGAUAUUGGGAGGAACACCAGUGGCGAAGGCGGCUUCCUGGCACAAUACUGACGCUCAUGUGCGAAAGCUAGGGCAGCGAACGG